ACUCCUACGGGAGGCAGCAGUGGGGAAUAUUGGACAAUGGGCGCAAGCCUGAUCCAGCCAUGCCGCGUGAGUGAUGAAGGCCUUAGGGUUGUAAAGCUCUUUCGGCGGGGACGAUAAUGACGGUACCCGCAGAAGAAGCCCCGGCUAACUUCGUGCCAGCAGCCGCGGUAAUACGAAGGGGGCUAGCGUUGUUCGGAAUCACUGGGCGUAAAGCGCACGCAGGCGGAUCGUUAAGUCAGGGGUGAAAUGCCGAGGCUCAACCUCGGAACUGCCUUUGAUACUGGCGAUCUUAGAGUCCGGGAGAGGUGAGUGGAACUCCGAGUGUAGAGGUGAAAUUCGUAGAUAUUCGGAAGAACACCAGUGGCGAAGGCGGCUCACUGGCCCGGUACUGACGCUCAGGUGCGAAAGCGUGGGGAGCAAACAGGAUUAGAUACCCUGGUAGUCCACGCCGUAAACGAUGGAUGCUAGCCGUCGGUGAGCUUGCUCUUCGGUGGCGCAGCUAACGCAAUAAGCAUCCCGCCUGGGGAGUACGAUCGCAAGAUUAAAACUCAAAGGAAUUGACGGGGGCCUGCACAAGCGGUGGAGCAUGUGGUUCAAUUCGACGCAACGCGAAGAACCUUACCAGGCCUUGACAUCCCGGUCGCGGCCCCUUGAAAGAGGGGCUUUCAGUUCGGCUGGACCGGUGACAGGUGCUGCAUGGCUGUCGUCAGCUCGUGUCGUGAGACGUUGGGUUAAGUCCCGCAACGAGCGCAACCCUCGCCCUUAGUUGCCAUCAUUCAGUUGGGCACUCUAAGGGGACUGCCGGUGAUAAGCCGCGAGGAAGGUGGGGAUGACGUCAAGUCCUCAUGGCCCUUACGGCCUGGGCCACACACGUGCUACAAUGGCGGUGACAGUGGGCAGCAAAAGCGCAAGCUCUAGCUAAUCUCAAAAAGCCGUCUCAGUUCGGAUUGGAGUCUGCAACUCGACUCCAUGAAGUUGGAAU
rnacentral:rRNA from 1 species